UACGUAGGGUGCGAGCGUUAAUCGGAAUUACUGGGCGUAAAGCGUGCGCAGGCGGCUUUGCAAGACAGAUGUGAAAUCCCCGGGCUCAACCUGGGAACUGCAUUUGUGACUGCAAGGCUAGAGUACGGCAGAGGGGGAUGGAAUUCCGCGUGUAGCAGUGAAAUGCGUAGAUAUGCGGAGGAACACCAAUGGCGAAGGCAAUCCCCUGGGCCUGUACUGACGCUCAUGCACGAAAGCGUGGGGAGCAAACCGG
rnacentral:rRNA from 1 species